rnacentral:rRNA from 1 species
AUGUCCAUCCGAUCUCUCAUCUCCGCAUCCAGGUCCAGAUAUGCCCUCGCCGCUUCCACCAUCUCUCAAGCAACUUCCAGGACGCACCAGCACGCCUGCGUGCCUCCUCUGCUCUCGGGGCUUGGACCACUCGCAUGCGCCUUUAGCUCAAGCGCUGCAGUAGCAGAUGUCAAUUCAGGGGUCCGUGUCAUGGAAGGGCAGCUAGAAGAAUAUGCGCACUUCGCCGUGCUGGCUAGUGGGCCCCUGGCUGAUGUGCUGUUUAGAACCACUUCAAAAUGUUGCUUUAAUACUAUAUGUGUAUAA